GCUCAUGCUCGCCAAGGCCGCAUGUGGCUACCGCCGCGUCCGUUGGCCGGUUUUGGUGCUGACAAAGAAAGUGCUAUGCCCAUAUUACGCCUUCAGUGUGGUCGCCUGUGUGCUGGUUCCUCUACCAUCUUCAUGGCCCCACAUCACCCAGUAUAAAAUCAUGAAACAUGUCCAUGUUGUCCGUGUUUGUAUCCUCCGUUGGCGUCCCAAAGUUAUCAUUCACAACAGCAUUGCUCAUAUCUUGUUGGUUGUUGCUCUGUAUUAUAUUAAUCUCUACUACUAGAUGAACAUACAAUUGAACAACCUGAUGCUUCUCUUUGCCUGGGAACCUUGUUUGGAGCUCAUCGACAUUGUUGUCAUUGUGCUUUUUGUUUGUGUCAUUUGUGUAGGUGUUGUUGGUGUAGGAUGAAUACUGUUCCUAAGAGGACACCACGGACAGCAUCUAGUGCGAAGUCAUCCCACUCUGCCUCCAGCCACUAGACGUUGUGCAAAGGACAACAAUGACCUAGCUCCUGUUGCAUCGCCAUUGGGACGCCAUGGCCGCACACCCAGUACCUACUCCCAUUGGGCCUCCAUUCGAUUUAUUUUUUAUGAACCACCAGAUGUUCUAGAUUUAUUUUUUAUGAACCAAAAUUUGUUUUGAAAAGAAAGGCACCACGAGCAGAAAGCAAACUAGCCAGAGACAAACGCAUCGUGCUCAAGACGCUGUGCACAUACGAAGAAAGUGUUGUGCACAUAUUGCUUUCUCUUGCGCAUUCAUGUGUUCUAGGAUGGCAGAUUUGUGCUCAUGAGAUCAACAUAGGCACCUAGCGAGUAGUAGUGCCAACAUAGGGCACAACCAUGUUUUAUGGAGUGAGAUCAUGCAUUGGGGUGAUGUGUUGUUUGUGGAUUGGUUGCAGCAUCGGCAUGAGAAGCAUCAUAGACCGCAUGAAGGUCCUGCUCCGUGGGCACCCAGAUCUGAAGUGUCAUUCCAACAUGUUCCUGCCGCCGCAGUACGAGCUCAGCCUCACGGAUGACGACCAGCACGAAGAAGUGCCAGCAGCCAAUAGCCUACAGGGAAGGCCCGCACAGGGUGAUUGACUGAAUCAAGUGUAAUCUUCGCCCGUAGCAGGUCUGGCUAUGGCGCUGAGACCAAGGGCGCCUCCAUUCGCUUUGCAAGGACGAAGCGGCGGUGGAACACGGGCGCGAACGCUGUGGCUACGCGCCAAGCAGACAACAAUGGGGAGGUCCUCCCAUGAGAGGAUGUUGGAGCCAAAGUCGAGUCGGACAGCUCCGUUAGGAGCAAGAACUGAACUAGCCACACAGGCAAAAACGCAUCGUGCUCAAGGCGCUGCUCCUGCUCGCUACGGCCGCGUGUGGCUGCCACCGCUUUCAUUGGCUGGUGUUGGUGCUGAUGAAGAAAGUGCUUUGCACAUAUGCCAUGUGCGUGCUCGUCCCACGUCCCACACCGUUGUCGGCGACCAGACGUCGUGCAAAGGACAACAGUGCCCUAGCUCCAGCUGCAUUGCCAUCGUGGACGCCAUGGCCGCACACCCAGUACCUACUCCCGUAGGGCCUCCACUCGAUUUAUUUUUUAUGAACCACAAGAUAUUCUAGAUUUAUCUUUUAUGAACCAAGAUUUGUUUUGAAAAGAGAAGAAGUGGAUGGGAGAGGGAAACAAGGAGAUUGUGGGCAGAGGAUUAGGUGGAUCGAUGUGUCAUCUUACCUAAGCCACGUGGAUCACAUAAUAGAUGUGAUGUUGGUUGUAUGAGUUGUACAGCAUCAAGCGACAAAACAUGAUGAGCUAUUGUCUCUGGACUGAUUGCAACAUCAGCGUGAGACGCAUCAUGGACCGCAUGAAGGUCUGCUCUGUGGGCCUAGAUCUGAAGCAUCGUUUAAACAUGUUCCUACCGCCACAGUACGAGCUCAGUCUCAGGGAUGACGACCAGCACGAAGAAGUGCCAGCACCUUAUAGCCUAAAGGGAAGGCCCGCCCAGCAUCAUUGACUGAAUCAAGUGUUAGCUUCGCUCAUAGCAGGUCUGGCUACGGUGCUGAGAUCGAGGGCGCCUUCGUUCGCUUGGCAUAGACAAAGCGGCGGUGGAACGUGGGCGCAAGGUGGACGACAAUAGGGAGGACCUCCCCCGGGAGGAUGUCGGAGCCGGAGUCGAGUUGGACAGCGCCACCGGGAGCACGAAGCAAACUAGCCAGAGAGACAAACGCAUCCUGCUCAAGACGUGCACAUACGAAGAAAGUGUUGUGCACACACGAAAAAAGUGUUGUGCACAUACUGCUUUCUCUUGCACGCUCAUGUGUUCUAGGAUGGCAGAUUUGUGUUCCUGAGAUCAACAUACGCACCUAGCGAGUAGUAGUGCCAACAUGGGGCACAAGCUGCCAUGUUUCAUGGAGCGAGAUCAUGAACUGGGCUGAUGUGUUGUUUGUGGAUCCAUUGCAGCAUUGGCGUGAGAAGCAUCAUAGACCGCAUGAAGGUCCUGCUCCGUGGUCACCUAGAUCUGAAGCGGCGUUCCAGCAUGUUCCUGCCACCACAAUACAAGCUCAGCCUCACGGAUGACGACCAGCACAAAGAAGUGCUAGCAGCCGAUAGCCUACAAGGAAGGCCCGCCCAGCGUGAUUGACUAAAUCAAAUGUAAUCUUUGCUCACAGCAGGUCUGGCUACGGAGCCAAGACCG
rnacentral:lncRNA from 1 species